ensembl:lncRNA
UUCUUUUGAAUGAGUUUUUAAUCUUAAUCUUCAUCAUUCGCCACCAUCAGCAUCCUCAUCACUGACCAGUGCAAUAGUCAUUAGCAUGACAUCAUCUUCACAGUUGUUAAUCAUCGCACAGAAAUGAUCAUCAGUUCCAUCGUCGUCAUCAUCAUGUACAUUCUCAUUGUUUUCAGUUCUUUUGUAUUUCAUACUUUUAUAAUAUAUUGUAUAUCAUCCAUAGUCGAUCUCUUUUUUAAAUAAUUUACAUAAGAAUAAAGUCAACAGACUGAAGAAUGACUAUCUGUAUAUUUACAUAAUGAGACACAGAAAGAGAGAAUCAAGAAGAAAACAGCAGGUGACUGGAAAUCAAAGAAAAGACUGAGAAAGAGGAGGAGGAGUAGGAAGAGGAGGGGGAGGGGGAGAAGCAGCUCGAGGAGAGAGAGAGGAGGGGAGGGGAGGGAGGGCAAUCGACAGGAAGCCUCUGUGUGUGUGUGUGUUUGUGUGUGUGUGUUUGUGUGUGUUAUUCAUGUGACUCCUCGCUGAGUAUCAAAGCGAGGGUGAAUGGAGCUAACGAGGUCGUCAUACGAUGAUGACCUCCUACCCAAACCUCUGAUUUGUCUCCAUGGCAGCAGAUUACAAUGGCUGUUGCCAUGGUAAAACGUAACAUUCAUAAUCUAAUGUAAGAGUUUCUGAAAGUAAAUUUAGAUUAAAGAGGAAAUAAAAUAGAAGGUAUGUAAUACUUUUUUUCUUUUACAAGAUGUAAUUAUGAUGUUGAUAAUUUUCCUGUUGUUAAAUAGAACUCAACAUAUUGGAUUAGUCAAGCAGGGAAAAUCCAGAUUAUCUCAGUUCAGAGUCGCUACUUUUAUCUGAAAAUACCUGCCUGUUUAUCACAUGAAAAAAUAGCUUCUAUUAAUCCUCACUUCUCAUCCUUUCAUGAGUUAAAACGAUAAGAUUAACUGACUAGUAGAUUAGUGGAAGACAAGCUAACUGUUUUAAAUCACUGUUUUUACUCACAAUAUGCCAUUCUGGACUUGUCAAACUGCACUAACUUGACACUGUAUGUAACCUGAAGUUGCAAAAACCAAACUUCAUAGUGCAAUGACACAAAGUGCCACGUAAGUCUGCAAACUAAAUAGUUGUGAAACUUCAGACAGCAUCUGGUGCUGAAUUAAUGCUGCUGUAUGAGUUCUACGAAUAUUGGUGUAUUCUGAAGAAAAGCAGUGUCUAAAAA